ensembl:misc_RNA Metazoa_SRP Metazoan signal recognition particle RNA
ACUGGGUGUGGUGGCAUGCACCUAUAGUCCCAGCUAUUUGGGAGGCUGAGACAGGAGGAUCUUUUGAGCCCAGGAGGUCUGGGUGGUAGUGCAGUGUGCAAAUUGGGUGUCCACACUAAGUUCAGCAUCAGUUUGAUGACCUCUUGGAAGCCGGGACCACCAUGUUGCCCAAGGAGGGGUGAACUGGCCCAGGCUAGAAACAAAGUAGGUCAAAACUCCCAUGCUGAUCAGUAGUGGGAUAGUGCCUAAGAAUAGCUAUUACACUCUGGCCUGGGCAAUGAAAAAAUAUGUAUAUUUUU